AAUAUGGCACUACUGAACUAUUGCAUUCCCGAAGCAUAACUAUUGCAUGCUAGAAGCAUGACAGUCGUCGCAUGGAUACACGUCCCAGAUAGGACAAUCCAUAGACAUGGGAAUGUUGAUGUCUCAUACAUAGAGCAUAAUAGACAUAUAGGUUCCAAUGACUCAACUCCCGGAAGUGGAGAUUAAAAUCCAAGCUCUAUAACGCUCAAGAGGAGGUUAUGAUCCACAUUCUCUAAAUUAUGACUAUCCUGGAAGAGAUAGCGUCAUGCCCUUGAAGAGGCAAUGGAUAUCCAAAGAAAUGAAAAGCUUUUAUGCAUGCGCAUACACAUGAGAAUAUGGGAUCACGGAUUGAUGAUAACCAAUGGUAAUUUUGGUUUUUACAAGUAGCUACUAAAUUCAUCAAUGAGCUGUGUUAAUAUUGAGUCACGUUCUUUUGUUCGUCGACAAAAGAAAAAUUAUUGGCCAAAAUGGAGAAAGGGAAUUCCAUUACAAUUUUGUAAGAACGUGGGCAAAUGAACCUAUAUAUAUUUAAAUACAAUACAAAUAGCCAAAAGAUGUUGAACCAAGGAGGUUAUAUAUGGGCAUUUGUAAUAUAGUGUAAUACACUUACAUGAUAUGACACAAGGUUG
rnacentral:lncRNA from 1 species